rnacentral:lncRNA from 1 species
GCGCUUGUGUUGUAAAGUAGUAAGUGAACUUAGACGUAACCCUACUUUACAGCGUAAGCGUUGUAACUAAUACUAAGUCCCCCAUGCCAUAACGUCCUUAAGGGGGACAAGUCCGUUAAGCGUGACGCGUGCGAGUUAAGCCUUGUUGUUAGCUUAUAUUUGUUGUUUUUACGUGGUAAUGGUGGUUCACUUUUUAAAAUAAAUUUACAUUACGUAGUAUUUGGCUUAAACGCUUUCCUUGUACCAAGUCAUCAUUUUCAUUAUUUUCUUUAUUUUAAUGAUGAAAAUAAUGAAAAUGAUGAACAAGUAGGGACUUUGGUUCUUCCCCUUCGGGGAUGAACUAAAGAAGACAACCCUUUAGGGGACGUCUUUGGUUCCCCUUUAGUGCUCUUCUUCAUCCCCUAAAGGGGAACCAAAGUCUUCCCCUAAAGGGGAAGACUUUGGGGAAGACUUUGGAAAGGGGAAGACUUNUGGGGAAGACUUUGGAAACCCUAAAGAAGACAACCCUUUAGUUCCCCUUUAGGGGAUGACGAUGACGUCCCUUGUCAUCAUUAAAAUAAAGAACAAGAAGGGGACAACCAAAGGUAAGGGCUCUGGUCUUCUUCUUUCCCCUUUAGGGGAUAUCAUCCCCUAAAGGGUUGUCCCCUUUAGGGGAACCUUCUUCUUUCCCCUUUAGGGGAUAUCAUCCCCUAAAGGGUUGUCUUCUUUAGGGUUGUCUUCUUUAGGGUUGUCCCCUUUAGGGUUUCCAAAGUCUUCCCCCGAAGGGGGAAGUCAUCCCCUNN